GGAUAAACCAUACUCAGUUGAUG
rnacentral:miRNA from 1 species